AUUUCAACAAUGAAGCGAGUGGCGAACUGGUGAGUAACACGUGGGAAUCUGCCCAGAAGCAGGGAUAACACGUUGGAAACAGGUGACUAAUACCGUAUAACAACAAAAUCCGCAUGGAUUUUGUUUAGGAAAGGUGGCUUCGGCUAUCACUUCUGGAUGACUCCCGCGGCGUAUUAGCUAGAUGGUGGGGUAACGGCUCACCAUGGCAAUGAUACGUAGCCGACCUGAGAGGGUAAUCGGCCACAUUGGGACUGAGACACGGCCCAAACUCC
rnacentral:rRNA from 1 species